rnacentral:tRNA from 3 species
GGGUCGGUGGCUGAGUCUGGUUAAAAGCGGUGGUCUGUAAAACCAUCCUCUGCGGAGUUCGCUCCCUUCAAAUCCAGCUCGACCCA